AGCAAGCGCACGAAGGCGUACACAGCUGCCGAGGACAAGCUUCUUUGCGAGUGUUGGCGAGACAUUGGACAAGACCCAAAGACGGGCGCCGAGCAAAAGCAUUCGACCUUUUGGACUCGUGUGCACCGCAAGUUUCAUGAGCUCAAGAAGUUUCCACCUUACCAAUUUGUGAGCACGCGCGGGUGGGUCUCCAUUUCCAAGCGGUGGAGGGUGAUCCAACAAGAGUGCAAUAAGUUUUGCGCCACCCUUGAGAGCGUCAAGGCCCGCCCCGUGAGCGGCAUCGGCGUGCAAGACAUGGUAUGA
rnacentral:rRNA from 1 species